rnacentral:rRNA from 1 species
GACGAACGCUGGCGGCGUGCCUAAUACAUGCAAGUAGAACGCUGAAGGAGGAGCUUGCUUCUCUGGAUGAGUUGCGAACGGGUGAGUAACGCGUAGGUAACCUGCCUGGUAGCGGGGGAUAACUAUUGGAAACGAUAGCUAAUACCGCAUAAGAGUAGAUGUUGCAUGACAUUUGCUUAAAAGGUGCAAUUGCAUCACUACCAGAUGGACCUGCGUUGUAUUAGCUAGUUGGUGGGGUAACGGCUCACCAAGGCGACGAUACAUAGCCGACCUGAGAGGGUGAUCGGCCACACUGGGACUGAGACACGGCCCAGACUCCUACGGGAGGCAGCAGUAGGGAAUCUUCGGCAAUGGACGGAAGUCUGACCGAGCAACGCCGCGUGAGUGAAGAAGGUUUUCGGAUCGUAAAGCUCUGUUGUAAGAGAAGAACGAGUGUGAGAGUGGAAAGUUCACGCUGUGACGGUAUCUUACCAGAAAGGGACGGCUAACUACGUG